rnacentral:rRNA from 1 species
UACGUAGGGGGCUAGCGUUGUCCGGAUUUAUUGGGCGUAAAGCGCGUGUAGGCGGCCAGAUAGGUCUGCUGUGAAAACUCGAGGCUCAACCUCGAGCUGUCGGCGGAAACCAUCCGGCUAGAGUCCGGAAGAGGAGAGUGGAAUUCCUGGUGUAGCGGUGAAAUGCGCAGAUAUCAGGAAGAACACCAAUGGCGAAGGCAGCUCUCUGGGACGGUACUGACGCUGAGACGCGAAAGCGUGGGGAGCGAACAGG